GACGAACGCUGGCGGCGUGCCUAAUACAUGCAAGUCGAACGCUGAAGAGAGGAGCUUGCUCUUCUUGGAUGAGUUGCGAACGGGUGAGUAACGCGUAGGUAACCUGCCUUGUAGCGGGGGAUAACUAUUGGAAACGAUAGCUAAUACCGCAUAACAAUGGAUGACACAUGUCAUUUAUUUGAAAGGGGCAAUUGUUCCACUACAAGAUGGACCUGCGUUGUAUUAGCUAGUAGGUGAGGUAAUGGCUCACCUAGGCGACGAUACAUAGCCGACCUGAGAGGGUGAUCGGCCACACUGGGACUGAGACACGGCCCAGACUCCUACGGGAGGCAGCAGUAGGGAAUCUUCGGCAAGGGGGGCAACCCUGACCGAGCAACGCCGCGGGAGUGAAGAAGGUUGUCGGAUCGUAAAGCUCUGUUGUAAGUCAAGAACGGGUGUGAGAGUGGAAAGUUCACACUGUGACGGUAGCUUACCAGAAAGGGACGGCUAACUACGUG
rnacentral:rRNA from 1 species